CUACGGAGGGUGCAAGCGUUACUCGGAAUCACCGGGCGUAAAGCGCGCGCAGGCGGCUAUUUAAGUUGGAUGUGAAAGCCUACGGCUCAACCGUAGAACUGCAUCCAAAACUAUUUAGCUAGAGUGUGGGAGAGGAAGAUGGAAUUAGUUGUGUAGGGGUAAAAUCCGUAGAGAUAACUAGGAAUACCAAAAGCGAAGGCAAUCUUCUGGAACACUACUGACGCUGAGGCGCGAAAGCGUGGGGAGCAAACGGGAUUAGAAACCCCAGUAGUCC
rnacentral:rRNA from 1 species